GUUUCUUUGGAAACACGUGGUUGAAUUGGAAUGAUAACAAGAAAAUUAGCAUAGCCCUUGCAUAAGGAGGAUGCGCAAAUCGACAAAUCAUAGGGCUCACCUUCUU